rnacentral:misc_RNA from 1 species
GAAAUGCGAUAAUUAAUGUGAAUUGCAGAAUUCAAUGAAUCAUCGAGUCUUUGAACGCACAUUGCGCCCCCUGGUAUUCCGGGGGGCAUGCCUGUCCGAGCGUCAUUGCUGCCCUCAAGCACGGCUUGUGUGUUGGGCUUCCGUCCCUGGCAACGGGGACGGGCCCAAAAGGCAGUGGCGGCACCAUGUCUGGUCCUCGAGCGUAUGGGGCUUUGUCACCCGCUCCCGUAGGUCCAGCUGGCAGCUAGCCUCGCAACCAAUCUUUUUAACCAGGUUGACCUCGGAUCAGGUAGGGAUACCCGCUGAACUUAAGC